UACGAAGGGGGCUAGCGUUGCUCGGAAUCACUGGGCGUAAAGCGCACGUAGGCGGAUUGUUAAGUCAGGGGUGAAAUCCUGGAGCUCAACUCCAGAACUGCCUUUGAUACUGGCGAUCUCGAGUCCGGGAGAGGUGAGUGGAACUGCGAGUGUAGAGGUGAAAUUCGUAGAUAUUCGCAAGAACACCAGUGGCGAAGGCGGCUCACUGGCCGGUACUGACGCUGAGGUGCGAAAGCGUGGGAGCAACA
rnacentral:rRNA from 1 species